GUUAAACAUGAGCUGUUUUUGGCUGCUGCCGUUUUGAUCAUAGACCUGUACCGUUCCAGCGCUUUGCAUUGCGGGAUAGAGUAGACGAGGUAGACUGGUCCGAUGCAUACUUGAGAUUUUUUCCAAAUCCUCACGACAUCCGGGUAUUUUUUGCAGACUGUAGAUUUUCCUUUUGAUUGCAUACUACAUACUACAUUUCGGCCAAAUCAGUACGUACUAGUAUAGUAUGUGAUUUUGGAUACAGCCCAAGAGACAAAGGUGAGGAUACCAAAAUAAAAUAGGAAAUAAUUACUGAAAACUGGAAACAAGGAGAACAUAACCUCAGAGGAGAGCAGGGCAUGACAUGUUAACCCUGAAGAAAGUUUGUACAUAGUUAAACCAAGUACAGAGAUCCUUGUUUACAGAAUCUGUGGUUUAGCAUUAUUUAAUUUCACACAAUUUAACACAAUCAACCGCCAAUGUAAACCAAUUGAAGUUCUCAAUUUCUUAAUGCAUUAUAUCUUCGAUGAUUUAAAUAGUCAAAGCUGUCAGCAGUGAGGGGGAAACAGCAUGAUGUGUUGAGGACAGCUACCGUUUACUGACUCUGUGUGUUUGCAUAUGUGUCCUGCCUCUCUGCUCCCAGCCGUUAAGAGGCCAGUGUUGAUCAGUGGCUGUCCAGGCCUUUCAGAGACACAAUGAUGAUGCCACUGAUUCUACUGCUGGUCACCCUGGGGAUCCUUGUUCAGGAUUCAUCAGGAGAAAUCAUCCUGACUCAGUCUCCUGGAUCUCAGUCUGUUGUUCCAGGACAGACUGUCUCCAUCAGAUGUAAAGCCAGUUCAAGUGCUGGCAGCUGCCUUAACUGGUACCUUCAGAAACCUGGAGAAUCUCCCAAACUCUUGAUUUAUUCUGCUACAGCUCGUCAGACUGGAGUUUCACACCGUUUUAGUGGAAGUGGAUCUGGGACUGACUUCACUCUGACCAUCAGAGGAGUUCAGACUGAAGAUGCAGAAGCAGUUUACUACUGUCAGCAGUGUAGCAGCCUCCCGUUCACACAAUGAUACAUCGUCGAACAAAAACCUCUCUCAGCUAAAGAGGAACUGAUCUGACUGAACAGCUGCACAGAAAUUAAAACAGUGGAGAUUUGAUUAACAAACAUUUUUUCUUUUUUUAUGUUAGACCACAAUAAUACAGUCAGCUCAAAAAAAAGAAGAAGCAUAUUUCUGUUAAAUAUAGUUUUGGGAGCAUAUAUUCUUUUUAGUUUGUGAGUAAAUAUAUGAUUUCUCAAUGUCAGAACCACAGCUGUAUAAUAUCAACUCUCAUAAGAUUAUAGUCUACGCAAAAUUGCAACAAAUAAUGAAAAAAUGUAAAUACAAAUAUUCAAUUAAUUCAAAACGUUACCUUUUUAUGUUUAUCUUUUAAAAUACCAGACUUAAAAUUCAGAUUAGAAAAACAACAAAGAAUUUCAGCUUUAAACAAAAGAAAAUGUGUUCAUACUGUAUAGUAUUGUUGAUACAUUUCAUUAUACUCAAAAUGUUUUAGUGUCUUGUUAGUUUUGGGAUGAUAUCAUCAAACUUUAUAUUACAGCACAAUUCAGUAUAGAGUAGGACACUGAACAUUAUUUAUUUCUAAAAUCAUCACCUUAAUUUAUAAAAUCCCAGUGACCUGAUCCUAAAACAAAAUAAAUCUCUUUGGAUUAAACAGAUCCACUGUUUAGAUGUAAGACAGCCACAUAUGACAGCAGUUAUACUUUAUAAUAUGCAUGAAUUCAGUUAAUUUGAUGAAUAGCUCUUUGUUGAUUUAAAACAAUAUCAGUGUUAUUGCAACCAGUGAAAAAAAACAUUUCUAAAUUCUGCUGACAGACAGGAAGAGACAGAGACUGCUGUCCUCUCUUUUGUGUCAAGUCUUUUGGUGAAGUUACACUGUCUCAUUUAAAUAUUAUUACAUGUUGUACUCCAAUUAUAUUCAUGUUAUAUCACUUUAUGAAGAUGAUAGCCUGUUAUUUAUUUCUAAUCCGGAAAAUCCUUUCUAGUAUUUCCACUUUUGUAAAUUCAGAAUUUAAGAAUAAUUUCUCCAUACAAUUUAAAAGCACAUGAACAUAAUAUAUUGAUCUUCUUCGAUGGUUAAAAUGAGUAAUAACAGAGAGCUUUGUCAUUAACCAUUGAAAUGUUCUCACCGAGUGUAUUGUUAUCAAAUUUAAUGAAUAUAGAUAAAACUGGAAUGACAAUAGCAGAAUAUCCACAGUCUAAAAACAAUUCAAAAGUAAUCUGGAAAUAAUCGUCUUGUUGCUGUUGUUUUAUUCUGACUAAUGUUCCUAAUUUAUAAUAUAUGUCAAAAAAAAGAAAGUCAAAAGACAUGUCACUUUUAUAAUACACAUGAUAAAAUCUUUAUUGUUUUAAAAUGUUGAAAACAUCAACACAAGCAAGAA